AUUAGAAAUUUCAGGUGCAAGACCUUAAGAAAAAUAGCAUAAGGGCACAAGAGCUGCCCAAGCAGCCUAGGUGAAAGGUUUCAGAGCUGCGAGUGGCAAGCCUACAGAAUUGGAAUUAGACAAACCUUAUCAUAAGAGUCUGUCAGUGAGAUGCAUCUGCAGCAUUACAUGUCUGUUUUUUGCCUCAGCGUGCCCACAGUCUGACCCCCGAUAAUGGCAGAUGUGAUAGAAUUUAAGAACUUACUGUGGAAGAUUCUCUGAUACAUUUCAUAUCAGGAGAACGGAGCAGAAACUAAGAAAAGAGAAGUGGAGGACUACACAAAUUAUGUGAACACUAUUAAAUACUGGAAAAUUUCAACAUAAUUUCUAAGGUGAAAAAAACUUCACACUUUAAGUAAAUAUUUUAAUAAAAAAUAUUAU
rnacentral:lncRNA from 1 species